rnacentral:rRNA from 1 species
AGAGUUUGAUCCUGGCUCAGAUCGAACGCUGGCGGCAGGCUUAACACAUGCAAGUCGAGCGGUAACAGGAGUAGCUUGCUACCCGCUGACGAGCGGCGGACGGGUGAGUAAUGCUUAGGAACCUGCCCAGUAGUGGGGGAUAGCCCGGGGAAACCCGGAUUAAUACCGCAUACGUCCUACGGGAGAAAGCAGGGGAUCUUCGGACCUUGCGCUAUUGGAUGAGCCUAAGUCGGAUUAGCUAGUUGGUGGGGUAAAGGCCUACCAAGGCGACGAUCCGUAGCUGGUCUGAGAGGAUGAUCAGCCACAUCGGGACUGAGACACGGCCCGAACUCCUACGGGAGGCAGCAGUGGGGAAUAUUGGACAAUGGGGGCAACCCUGAUCCAGCCAUGCCGCGUGUGUGAAGAAGGCUUUCGGGUUGUAAAGCACUUUCAGUAGGGAGGAAAACCUUAUGGUUAAUACCCAUGAGGCUGACGUACCUACAGAAGAGCACCGUSGUCCCUCCCC